UGACUCGAAGUGAUUCAG
rnacentral:snRNA from 1 species